GACGAACGCUGGCGGCGUGCUUAACACAUGCAAGUCGAACGGAAAGGCCCUGCUUUUGUGGGUUGCUCGAGUGGCGAACGGGUGAGUAACACGUGAGUAACCUGCCCUUUACUUUGGGAUAACUUCAGGAAACUGGGGCUAAUACCGGAUAGGAGCUCCUGCUGCAUGGUGGGGGUUGGAAAGUUUAGGCGGGUGGGGAUGGACUCGCGGGUUAUCAGCUUGUUGGUGGGGUAGUGGCUUACCAAGGCUUUGACGGGUAGCCGGCCCGAGAGGGUGACCGGCCACAUUGGGAGUGAGAGACGCGCCAGACUCCUACGGGAGGCAGCAGUGGGGAGUAUUGCACAAUGGGGGGAAGCCUGAUGCCGAAACGCCGCGUGCGGGAUGACGGCCUUCGGGGUGUAAACAGCUUUCGCCUGUGACGAAGAGUGAGUGACGGUAAUGGGUAAAGAAGCACCGGCUAACUACGUG
rnacentral:rRNA from 1 species